rnacentral:rRNA from 1 species
UACGUAGGUGGCGAGCGUUGUCCGGAAUUACUGGGUGUAAAGGGCGUGUAGGCGGGGAUGCAAGUCAGAUGUGAAAUUCCAUGGCUUAACUGUGGGACUGCAUCUGAAACUGCGUUUCUUGAGUGCCGGAGAGGGAAGCGGAAUUCCAAGUGUAGCGGUGAAAUGCGUAGAUAUUUGGAGGAACACCAGUGGCGAAGGCGGCUUUCUGGACGGUAACUGACGCUGAGGCGCGAAAGCGUGGGGAG